rnacentral:rRNA from 1 species
AAUGAACGCUGGCGGCGUGCUUAACACAUGCAAGUCGAACGAGAACAGAGUAGCUUGCUAUUCUAAGUAAAGUGGCGCACGGGUGAGUAACGCGUGGAUAAUCUACCCCUGAAUCGGGAAUAACAUGGCGAAAGUUGUGCUAAUACCGGAUAAUAUCUUGUUAACCUUGGUUAUAAAGAUCAAAGAUAGCCUCUGUAUAUGCUAUUGUUUGGGGAUGAGUCCGCGUGCCAUUAGCUAGUUGGUGGGGUAAGAGCCUACCAAGGCAACGAUGGCUAGCUGGUCUGAGAGGAUGAUCAGCCACACUGGAACUGAGACACGGUCCAGACUCCUACGGGAGGCAGCAGUGAGGAAUUUUGCGCAAUGGGGGCAACCCUGACGCAGCAACGCCGCGUGAGUGAAGAAGGCUUUCGGGUCGUAAAACUCUGUCGAAUGGGAAGAAUGAGUAUGCAAUGAAUAAGUGUAUACAGUGACGGUACCAUUAGAGGAAGCACCGGCUAACUCCGUGCCAGCAGCCGCAGUAACAC